CAAGGGCGUAUAUUAACGUUGUUGCAGUUAAAAAGCUCGUAGUUGGAUUUCUGGAGGGAGCGUCGGCCCGUAUUUACGAGUGCGUGACGUCUCUGUCCAUCCUUGCGGGAAGGCACGGCAUUGAUUUGUUGUGUCGGAUCGCAUCAUUUACUGUGAAAAAAUUAGAGUGUUCAAAGCAGGCUUUCGCUUGAAUACAUUAGCAUGGAAUAAUAAGAUAGGACUUUGGUGCUAUUUUGUUGGUUGAGCCUAAAGUAAUGAUUAAUAGGGAUAGUUGGGGGCACCUGUAUUGCGUUGUCAGAGGUGAAAUUCUUGGAUUUACGCAAGACAAACAGCUGCGAAAGCGUCUGCCAAGGAUGUUUUCAUUAA
rnacentral:rRNA from 1 species